rnacentral:lncRNA from 1 species
GUUCAGCCCAUCUGUUUUAUUCACAUUUAGGCAGAGAAAGGAUAGGGUUAUUUAAAUAUAUGUGGUUACCUUUAAUCUGGUGAAAUAUGACUUCUGUGAAGAUUAAUUAUAAACCAGUACCUGACUAAAAAAUUGACACUAGCAGAUGUUAAAAUUAUUACUAUUACAGUACAGAACACUUCCUGUUUUAAGGUAGCAAUCACUAUUUGGCAGCUCUAACUUGAAUGAUAUUCCUGAAAUGAAAAGGACUCCCAAAGUGUUAGGCUGCAUUUCUGUAUACACUGUUCAUCAGACACUGUACUGUGACAGCCCCACUGCACACAGAAACACCUGUGACUCAAGUGACCUCCCUCCACUCAACUUGACUGUUUCUGAAGAUUCCAUUUA